rnacentral:rRNA from 1 species
UACGAAGGGUGCAAACGUUGCUCGGAAUUAUUGGGCGUAAGCGCACGUAGGCGGCUUGGCAAGUCGGAUGUGAAUCCCUCGGCUCAACCAAGGAAGUGCAUCCGAAACUGCUGAGCUUGAGUACUUAAGAGGAUCGCGGAAUUCCCGGUGUAGAGGUGAAAUUCGUAGAUAUCGGGAGGAACACCAGUGGCGAAGGCGGCGAUCUGGGAAGAUACUGACGCUGAGGUGCGAAAGCGUGGGAGCAACAGG